rnacentral:rRNA from 1 species
CAAGUCGAGCGGCAGCGGGAAGAAGCUUGCUUCUUUGCCGGCGAGCGGCGGACGAGUGAGUAAUGUCUGGGGAUCUGCCUGAUGGAGGGGGAUAACUACUGGAAACGGUAGCUAAUACCGCAUAACGUCGCAAGACCAAAGUGGGGGACCUUCGGGCCUCACACCAUCGGAUGAACCCAGAUGGGAUUAGCUAGUAGGUGGGGUAAUGGCUCACCUAGGCGACGAUCCCUAGCUGGUCUGAGAGGAUGACCAGCCACACUGGAACUGAGACACGGUCCAGACUCCUACGGGAGGCAGCAGUGGGGAAUAUUGCAUAAUGGGGGAAACCCUGAUGCAGCCAUGCCGCGUGCGUGAAGAAGGCCUUCGGGUUGUAAAGCACUUUCAGCGGGGAGGAAGGCGAUGGCGUAAAUAGCGCCAUCGAUUGACGUUACCCGCAGAAGAAGCACCGGCUAACUCCGUGCCAGCAGCCGCGGUAAUACGGAGGGUGCGAGCGUUAAUCGGAAUUACUGGGCGUAAAGCGUACGCAGGCGGUCUGUUAAGUCAGAUGUGAAAUCCCCGGGCUCAACCUGGGAACUGCAUUUGAAACUGGCAGGCUAGAGUCUCGUAGAGGGGGGUAGAAUUCCAGGUGUAGCGGUGAAAUGCGUAGAGAUCUGGAGGAAUACCGGUGGCGAAGGCGGCCCCCUGGACGAAGACUGACGCUCAGGUACGAAAGCGUGGGGAGCAAACAGGAUUAGAUACCCUGGUAGUCCACGCUGUAAACGAUGUCGAUUUGAAGGUUGUGGCCUUGAGCCGUGGCUUUCGGAGCUAACGCGUUAAAUCGACCGCCUGGGGAGUACGGCCGCAAGGUUAAAACUCAAAUGAAUUGACGGGGGCCUGCACAAGCGGUGGAGCAUGUGGUUUAAUUCGAUGCAACGCGAAGAACCUUACCUACUCUUGACAUCCAGAGAACUUGGCAGAGAUGCUUUGGUGCCUUCGGGAGCUCUGAGACAGGUGCUGCAUGGCUGUCGUCAG